rnacentral:rRNA from 1 species
GACGAACGCUGGCGGCGUGCUUAACACAUGCAAGUCGAGCGAGUGGCGAACGGGUGAGUAACGCGUGAGGAACCUGCCUCAAAGAGGGGGACAACAGUUGGAAACGACUGCUAAUACCGCAUAAGCCCACGACCCGGCAUCGGGUAGAGGGAAAAGGAGCAAUCCGCUUUGAGAUGGCCUCGCGUCCGAUUAGCUAGUUGGUGAGGUUAACGGGCCCACCAAGGCGACGAUCGGUAGCCGGACUGAGAGGUUGAACGGCCACAUUGGGACUGAGACACGGCCCAGACUCCUACGGGAGGCAGCAGUGGGGAAUAUUGCACAAUGGGGAAACCCUGAUGCAGCGACGCCGCGUGGAGGAAGAAGGUCUUCGGAUUGUAAACUCCUGUUGUUGAGGAAGAUAAUGACGGUACUCAACAAGGAAGUGACGGCUAACUACGUG